rnacentral:lncRNA from 1 species
AUGACUGGAUGGCCCUUGCCACACUGGGAAGGGAAUGGGGGCCUCCCAUUGGAACUCUGGGUGGAGAGGGAAGCUCCACCAGCUAUUGUGCCUCCCACUUCCACUGACAAAAUAAGUGUUGCAAACGUGGCUUAA